GUCGCCGUCGCCGAUGCCUCGAAGCUUGGUGAAUUGCGCGAAGCUCUGGCCGGAACCAACAUUGCGUUUGGUGCAGGGGAGAGCGCCAUCAUCGAAGCGGCGGACCGUCCUGCCAAUUGGGUGAUGGCUGCGGUCAGCGGGGCGGCGGGAUUGAAGCCUGCGCUUGCGGCUGCCGAUCGCGGCGCCACGAUUGCGCUCGCCAACAAGGAGUGCCUUGUUUGCGCCGGCGAUUUCUUCAUGGAUCGCGCCGCCAAGGCGGGCGCAUGCAUCCUACCGGCGGAUUCCGAACACAACGCACUGUUUCAGGCGCUGGCAUCUGGCAACCGCGAAGAACUGGUCCG
rnacentral:misc_RNA from 1 species